GCAUAUCAAUAAGCGGAGGAAAAGAAACUAACAAGGAUUCCCCUAGUAACGGCGAGUGAACCGGGAAGAGCUCAAAUUUGAAAUCUGGCGUGCUCAGUGCGUCCGAGUUGUAAUCUAUAGAGGCGUUUUCCGUGCCGGACUGUGUCUAAGUCCCUUGGAACAGGGUAUCAAAGAGGGUGAUAAUCCCGUACUUGACACAAUGACCGGUGCUCUGUGAUACGUCUUCUACGAGUCGAGUUGUUUGGGAAUGCAGCUCAAAAUGGGUGGUGAGUUCCAUCUAAAGCUAAAUAUUGGCGAGAGACCGAUAGCGAACAAGUACCGUGAGGGAAAGAUGAAAAGCACUUUGGAAAGAGAGUUAAACAGUACGUGAAAUUGUUGAAAGGGAAACGAUUGAAGUCAGUCGUGACUGAGAGGCUCAGCCGGUUCUGCCGGUGUAUUCCCCUCAGUCGGGUCAACAUCAGUUUUGUUCGGUGGAUAAGGGCAGCUGGAAGGUGGCACCUCCGGGUGUGUUAUAGCCAGCUGUCGCAUACAUCGAAUGAGACUGAGGAAUGCAGCUCGCCUUUAUGGCCGGGGUUCGCCCACGUCCGAGCU
rnacentral:rRNA from 1 species